rnacentral:lncRNA from 1 species
GUAAAUGAUAUUUACUUUGAUAAUUUUUACUUCAUAAAUAUUUUACUUUUACAAUAUUUUACUUUCCAACUGAUAUUUUAGUCUUAAUUUCUGUUUAUCUAAUUAAAAUUAAAAUCAGUUACAAGUGUAUAUGUUAUAGUUCUUUCACUUCAUCUUAUAUAAUUCAUGUAACCUUGUCUGUAAGACCCAGGAAAAACAAACUCAGUUUCUCCUAAACUUGCACAACACAAAAUGCUUCUGUGAUCUCUGUUUUCUCUCCACUGACAGCCAUCAGUCAGUUCUCCAGAGUCUGCACCAGACACUAGCUGAUUGUCCUUUAAUUCAAUUCAAUUCUUUAUCUGGAGUUAACGCCAGAUCCCACACAUUGAGAGUUUAUUCCCCUGAGACUAUUUCCCACUUCCAAUGCCAAUCAUAAGCCGCAGUCUGUCUUACCUGUGCUUCUGAUCUGCUAGCUGUAUAUCAGUGUUCCCAUAACCCCCUCCUAGGAUUUAAUGAAUUUGUUAGAGUGGCACAGAGUACUCAGGAAAAUACUUUACUCAUAUUUACCAGUAUAUUAUAAAAGAUACAGAUGAAGAGAUUCAUAGGACAAGGUGUAUGGGAAAGAGUGCCCUCUCUGGGGAAGCCCCCUCCAGGAACAUCCAUGCAUCCAGCCCCCU